rnacentral:rRNA from 1 species
GUCUAUGGCCAUGCUGCCCUGAACAAGCCCGAUCCCGUCUGACCUCGGAAGCUAAGCAGGGUCGGGCCUGGUUAGUGUUUGGAUGGGAGACCACCUAGGAAGACCAGGUGCUGUAGGCG